rnacentral:rRNA from 1 species
GACGAACCGUGCGAACGUUGUUCGGAUUCACUGGGCUUAAAGGGCGCGUAGGCGGAUUGGCAAGUCAGGGGUGAAAUCUUUCGGCUCAACCGGAAAACAGCCCCUGAUACUGGCGAUCUUGAGGGAGGUAGGGGCAGGUGGAACUUCCGGUGGAGCGGUGAAAUGUGUUGAUAUCGGAAGGAACGCCGGUGGCGAAAGCGACCUGCUGGAUCUCUUCUGACGCUGAGGCGCGAAAGCUAGGGUAGCGAACGGG